rnacentral:tRNA from 1 species
GAUUGUGGCUCAGCGGUAGAGCGCUUGCCUAGCACAUGAGAGGCCCUGGGUUCGACCCUCAGCGCCA